CUUUUGUGUGGAAAAUCUUGAUUGUUAAGUGAUUGGUGAUUCAAUUUUCUUUUCAAUUUGAAGUAUGUGAUUGAUCAUAAUUUUUUGUUUGUUUCAAGCUAACUAAUCAUUUGCCUUUUUUAUAUCUUAAUCACAUUUGCUAUUUUAGGUAUUCAUUUCUCCAUUUAACUUCUUGUAGUUAAUUAGGACUUAUGCAUAUGUUGUUUUUGCCUUUCGAAUGUUUCUUACUUUCUUUAUUUAUCUAAUUUUUUUUGUUAGUAAGGUCUUAAAUUAAACAAACCAAAAUUAGUAAGGGAAGCAAUAGAGAACAAUAGUUAUGUUUUCUGAUGAAUUUACACAUUCAUUUACACCGUUCAGAUGCGCUUUCACUUUGACUCAUUUUUAAAAUGGGAUGUUACUCUAGACAGCGUGGCUAUUCAUCCAAAGGUAAAUGUCAGUGAAUAUAAAACAUAGUUAUAUUUUAAAGUUGAAUAAAAGUGAUUAAGUUACGAAUUCUGUUCAAACUUUUGAGUCUUGAAUGAAGAUUCCACCAGUUUCUUUUUAAUGGUUAAGUUUAAACUUCUGAAAUAUUUUUAAAAACUAACUAGUAAAAUAAAAACAAAGACCAAAUGCAUGUUUAUCCUUGAAUCAGUCAAUUCUUGUUUAUCUUUUUACGUUUCGAUUGAUCUUUAAUUAUUCCUUAAAGCUUAUUUGGAUACCACAUGGUAAGGAUGAUCAUCCAUAAAUUCUAAGUUAUCCUUUCAGUUUUAAAAUGAUUGUGUAGAACUUAAAGAAUCUGUUCUAUUCCUAUUGGAUUUGCUCCGUUUUAAAAGCAAACUUGGACUUUGUCGUUUCUAGUAUUGAUUAAAAGAUAGCAUUAUCUACCCUAUACUAAAAGCAGGAUAUGGAGUGUUUUUAACAUGUCCACGUCGACAGAUUUAAUUGUCCAAUCAAAAUAUUUGAAUAAUACACGUAGGAUGUGCUCUGUAAAAUGUUGAUUUCAUAUGGGCUAUGAUCUGUUCGGAUGGGCUUCAUCUAGCAAUGGGCUAAGCUAUCUGGUUCAAUUAAAAAAAAAAAUCCCAAUACGGACAACACGAUGAACAACGCUACUCUCCUCUAUCUCUUCGUCUUCACGAGUUCUUCUCUAUCGUUUCACUUCUCUCUGUUUUCAUCUCCACAAUCAAUACUCCAUUACUUCUCGAUCCAUCAAUCUCUUCUUUAUGAUUUCGAUUCCGUUUACUCUUUCCCUGCUACCUUAUAUACUGAUUUACUCUCCAGAUUGCAAACCAAACCCUAAAAUUCUCUAACCUCAAUUCGCGAUGAAACCACAUGGAAAAUCCCCUAUCACCUCCGAUUAUGAUGAAAAGGUGAUGUUCUUCCGCGAUGUCUCACCGGGUCCUCAUGAAACCCAGCUGCGUUUCCGCUUGAUUCAUCUCUGGGAGGCUUGGAACCCUGUCAAGAAAAUGCUUAUUGGCCUUGAGAUGCUUCUAAUCGACGAACAGUUAAUCACAUGUAAGACACAAAGUAAAGGUCCGCAGAAAAAUACGAUAUCCUGAACUUCAGAAAUAGUACGAAAAGGUUCACAACUACUCAUCAGAAAUCCAGGUUAGACCGCAUCUCCUUCUCUGUUUGCAAUGUAACCUCUCAUAUUAUAUUUUUGGUUUUGAUUUCAUGUCAAAUAUACAUUUCUGAGUUUUGAAGGAAAUUGGUAAAUAUGAUUAGGAGAGUAAAGUAUUUCGAGAUCCAACCAGAGAGCCACGGACCGUUUUCUAUGGUGUGGCUCUGCCGAUGGAAAUCUUGUGGUCAUUUUCCCAUGUGUAAGCUUUCAUGUAUUUGGUGAAAAUAUGCGCUUUGGUGGACUCUUUUGCUGCAAAACGGCUAAUGGAGACGGUAACGGAACAAUGCACAUCAACAUACUCGAUAGUUAAAGUGAAAGAAUAAAUAAGAACGAGGACAUGCUAGGCGGAUCAAAAGCACCACCAAUGGCCAAGCAAAACGCUACGUCUGGUACUCUUGCAAGUAGGGAGUUCUAUAAAGAAUCUUCUCAGCCUUCCAACGUUUUGAAAAAGACAACAGUGGAUAUAUCACAAUGGAAGCGCUGGAGCAGUCCCUGAGGGACACUAAUGGUGGAAGAGACCUUAAUGAAAUUAUUUCUGAAGUUGAUGGAGAAAAAUAGUUUCAAAGAAGGGGAGCUUCGCCACUUCUUCCUCUUUGUGUCACAUCUAUAGAAACGUCUGUUUCGUUCCAUUUCAGGCUCCUCUGCGGCUUCUCGGUGGCAUUUCCAACUUCAUACAUUUUACACAUGGGAUGCUAACAAGUAACAACUUGCUAUCGUAAAUAAGGAUGAUAAAAGACAUAAACAUGGAGAAAAUACACUUUGUAUUAUGAGAGAACUGCAUCAGUUUAAAAUAUUGUAAUUGUCGAGUGGGAGAACGGAGUACUGAAUUAAUUUACACACUGUAUUAGCAGCCCUUGACCACUAA